rnacentral:rRNA from 1 species
UACGUAGGGUGCGAGCGUUGUCCGGAAUUAUUGGGCGUAAAGGGCUCGUAGGCGGUUUGUCGCGUCGGGAGUGAAAAUCCAGGGCUUAACUCUGGACUGGCUUCCGAUACGGGCAGACUAGAGGUAUGCAGGGGAGAACGGAAUUCCUGGUGUAGCGGUGAAAUGCGCAGAUAUCAGGAGGAACACCGGUGGCGAAGGCGGUCUCUGGGCAUUACCUGACGCUGAGGAGCGAAAGUGUGGGGAGCGAACAGG